AGAGUUUGAUCCUGGCUCAGAACGAACGUUAGCGGCGCGCCUAACACAUGCAAGUCGCACGAGAAAGGGCUUCGGCCCCGGUACAGUGGCGCACGGGUGAGUAACACGUGGGUAACCUGCCCUCGAGCGGGGGAUAACAUUCCGAAAGGAGUGCUAAUACCGCAUAAGACCACGAUCUCGAAAGAGGACGCGGUCAAAGC
rnacentral:rRNA from 1 species